CGUAGGGACCAAGCGUUGUUCGGAUUUACUGGGCGUAAAGGGCGCGUAGGCGGCGUGUUAAGUCAGCUGUGAAAUCUCCAAGCUUAACUUGGAACGGUCAGCUGAUACUGAUGUGCUAGAGUGCAGAAGGGGCAAUCGGAAUUCUUGGUGUAGCGGUGAAAUGCGUAGAUAUCAAGAGGAACACCUGAGGUGAAGACGGGUUGCUGGGCUGACACUGACGCUGAGGCGCGAAAGCUAGGGUAGCAAACGGGAUUAGAUACCCCGGUAGUCCUAGCCCUAAACGAUGUAUGUUUGGUGUCUGGAGUUUUAAUUCUCUGGGUGCCGUCGCUAACGCUUUUAACAUACCGCCUGGGGAGUACGCACGCAAGUGUG
rnacentral:rRNA from 1 species